CAAUUCCAGCGAGGAGGCCUUUUAAGACAUGAGACCUGUGAGUGGCACUCUAGCAAAGCAGUUCCUGUUUCCAUGUGAUGGCACCUGGUGGGCUGUCCAUGAGGGAUCCCACACCUUACCCAGUCCUGCUCCUUGCAUGUCUGGUGACGUGGGGGAACCUCUCAGCAGUGUGGUGUCUGGAGCCUGUUCUGGGGACGGCACUCAGUGGUUGCCCCCUCCUGCCCACAGCUUUCAGGGCAGCCAGUAUGGACACGGACAGCAUGGACCACCAGCACCCGGCUCGUGAUGUUUCCUUUCUUAAAUUUAACAUGUGGGCUUAUCGGUUGCAUUGUAGCAUGCUUUGCAACAUCCUGCACUCCAGUUGUGACUCAGUGUCCAGGCAUUACCAGGUAUCUCCUAGUGCAUACCUGUUCCCAGCUAAAUAAAGCCCACAGCUUUAGUAGGUAUAACUAAGGCAGAGGGAAAGUAAAGUAGCUACCACAGUGGCACAUUCCUGUAAUCUCAGCUAUUCAGGAGUUAGACAGGGAGCACAGCUCAAGGCUAGCCCAAGCAAAAUAAAAAGUCUGAAACUAUCGGAAAAACUAAAAACAAAAGGACUGGUUGUGAGACUCAACUAGUGAAGCACUUGGCUAGUGAGCCCAAGGCCCAGGCCAACCCACUAGCCCAUGCAAGUUAUUGGAAUUGAGAUUUUUGAUGUAAAACUACCAAGGAUGAAUAGGAAAUGAAAAGCUUGGCCUAAUGGGUAAGUCUAG